rnacentral:rRNA from 1 species
GGGGGAAAAGUCGUAACAAGGUGGCCGUAGGGGAACCUGCGGCCGGAUCACCUCCUAAGUAA